GAUGAACGCUGGCGGCGUGCCUAAUACAUGCAAGUCGAGCGAACGGACGAGAAGCUUGCUUCUCUGAUGUUAGCGGCGGACGGGUGAGUAACACGUGGAUAACCUACCUAUAAGACUGGGAUAACUUCGGGAAACCGGAGCUAAUACCGGAUAAUAUUUUGAACCGCAUGGUUCAAAAGUGAAAGACGGUCUUGCUGUCACUUAUAGAUGGAUCCGCGCUGCAUUAGCUAGUUGGUAAGGUAACGGCUUACCAAGGCGACGAUGCAUAGCCGACCUGAGAGGGUGAUCGGCCGCACUGGAACUGAGACACGGUCCAGACUCCUACGGGAGGCAGCAGUAGGGAAUCUUCCGCAAUGGGCGAAAGCCUGACGGAGCAACGCCGCGUGAGUGAUGAAGGUCUUCGGAUCGUAAAACUCUGUUAUUAGGGAAGAACAUAUGUGUAAGUAACUGUGCACAUCUUGACGGUACCUAAUCAGAAAGCCACGGCUAACUACGUG
rnacentral:rRNA from 1 species